GGGCCUGUAGCUCAGGGGAUAGAGCAUUGGUUUCCGGUGCCAAGUGUCGGAGGUUCGAAUCCUUCCAGGCCCG
rnacentral:tRNA from 1 species